GAGUUUGAUCCAGUCUCGGGACGAACGCUGGCGGCGUGCCUAAUACCUGCAAGUAGAACGCUGAAGACUUUAGAUUGCUAAAGUUGGAAGAGUUGCGAACGGGUGAGUAACGCGUAGGUAACCUGCCUACUAGCGGGGGAUAACUAUUGGAAACGAUAGCUAAUACCGCAUAACAGCAUUUAACCCAUGUUAGAUGCUUGAAAGGAGCAAUUGCUUCACUAGUAGAUGGACCUGCGUUGUAUUAGCUAGUUGGUGAGGUAACGGCUCACCAAGGCGACGAUACAUAGCCGACCUGAGAGGGUGAUCGGCCACACUGGGACUGAGACACGGCCCAGACUCCUACGGGAGGCAGCAGUAGGGAAUCUUCGGCAAUGGGGGCAACCCUGACCGAGCAACGCCGCGUGAGUGAAGAAGGUUUUCGGAUCGUAAAGCUCUGUUGUAAGAGAAGAACGUGUGUGAGAGUGGAAAGUUCACACAGUGACGGUAACUUACCAGAAAGGGACGGCUAACUACGUGCCAGCAGCCGCGGUAAUACGUAGGUCCCGAGCGUUGUCCGGAUUUAUUGGGCGUAAAGCGAGCGCAGGCGGUUUAAUAAGUCUGAAGUUAAAGGCAGUGGCUUAACCAUUGUUCGCUUUGGAAACUGUUAGACUUGAGUGCAGAAGGGGAGAGUGGAAUUCCAUGUGUAGCGGUGAAAUGCGUAGAUAUAUGGAGGAACACCGGUGGCGAAAGCGGCUCUCUGGUCUGUAACUGACGCUGAGGCUCGAAAGCGUGGGGAGCAAACAGGAUUAGAUACCCUGGUAGUCCACGCCGUAAACGAUGAGUGCUAGGUGUUAGGCCCUUUCCGGGGCUUAGUGCCGCAGCUAACGCAUUAAGCACUCCGCCUGGGGAGUACGACCGCAAGGUUGAAACUC
rnacentral:rRNA from 1 species